GACGAACGCUGGCGGCGUGCUUAACACAUGCAAGUCGAACGGAAAGGCCCUGCUUGCAGGGUACUCGAGUGGCGAACGGGUGAGUAACACGUGGGUGAUCUGCCCUGCACUUCGGGAUAAGCCUGGGAAACUGGGUCUAAUACCGGAUAGGAGCCAUUUUUAGUGUGAUGGUUGGAAAGUUUUUUUCGGUGUAGGAUGAGCUCGCGGCCUAUCAGCUUGUUGGUGGGGUAAUGGCCUACCAAGGCGGCGACGGGUAGCCGGCCUGAGAGGGUGGACGGCCACAUUGAGACUGAGAGACGGCCCAGACUCCGACGGGAGGCAGCAGUGGGGAAGAUUGCACAAUGGGCGCAAGCCUGAUGCAGCGACGCCGCGUGGGGGAUGACGGCCUUCGGGUUGUAAACUCCUUUCGCGAGGGACGAAGCUUUUUGUGACGGUACCUAGAUAAGAAGCACCGGCUAACUACGUG
rnacentral:rRNA from 1 species